GACGAACGCUGGCGGCGUGCUUAACACAUGCAAGUGGAGCGACGAACCGGGCUUCGGCCCGGGGCAAAGCCGCGAACGGGUGAGUAUCACGUGGGUAACCUGCCCCGAUGACCGGGAUAACCCGAGGAAACUCGAGCUAAUACCGGAUGUGUUCUCCGUGCAUCAGCGCGGAAAGCAAAGGAAGCUUCGGCCUCCGCUUCGGGAUGGGCCCGCGGCCCAUUAGCUUGUUGGUGAGGUAAAGGCUCACCAAGGCAACGAUGGGUAGCUGGUCUGAGAGGACGAUCAGCCACACUGGGACUGAGACACGGCCCAGACUCCUACGGGAGGCAGCAGUGGGGAAUCUUGCGCAAUGCGCGAAAGCGUGACGCAGCAACGCCGCGUGAGGGAAGAAGGCCUUCGGGUUGUAAACCUCUUUCAGGAGGGACGAAGGUUCAGGCGCGAAUAGCGUCCUGGACUGACGGUACCUCCAGAAGAAGCCCCGGCUAACUACGUGCCAGCCGCCGCCGUAACAC
rnacentral:rRNA from 1 species